rnacentral:rRNA from 1 species
UCCAGACUCCUACGGGAGGCAGCAGUGGGGGAUAUUGCACAAUGGGGGGAACCCUGAUGCAGCGACGCCGCGUGGGUGAAGAAGCGCCUCGGCGCGUAAAGCCCUGUCAGCAGGGAAGAAAAUGACGGUACCUGACUAAGAAGCCCCGGCUAACUACGUGCCAGCAGCCGCGGUAAUACGUAGGGGGCGAGCGUUAUCCGGAUUCACUGGGUGUAAAGGGAGCGUAGACGGCCAUGCAAGCCAGGGGUGAAAGCCCGGGGCCCAACCCCGGGACUGCCCUUGGAACUGUGCGGCUAGAGUGCGGGAGGGGCAGGCGGAAUUCCUGGUGUAGCGGUGAAAUGCGUAGAUAUCAGGAGGAACACCGGCGGCGAAGGCGGCCUGCUGGACCGUGACUGACGUUGAGGCUCGAGAGCGUGGGGAGCAAACAGGAUUAGAUACCCUUGUA